AGUCUGUGUACCGUUUUUAGAUUUGUUUUGAUUAUGACAUAUUGACUAAGAUAUGAUAGAUGAGCAAUUAUCCAAAAAAGGAAAUUUAAAAGUGUUCUACAUUGGCAUAGCAAUUCCUUUAUAAAUUGAUCCUUCCGGAGGUGCUUUAGAAUGGUAUCGUAUACUAUCUAUGAGAAAUCCAUUGCACAGUCAACUGAUGUGAAAUCGUUUGUCUAUAGUGUGGUACGCGCUGUCAGCAGCCACAUCCCAACUUCUAGAUCAGAUGCAACUUUUAUUCUGGUAGUAUCUCGUUGCUACCAGCCGUAUCGUCGCUGACAGGGAGCGUUACACAUCUCCAAUAGCUGAAUUCCCGACAAAACACUCGGAAGGUGCUGGAUGUAGAAAUUGAAAUGCAGCAACAGCACCAACCUAAACUUGACGAUAGCCUGAACAUGGGACAGCUUCUCACGCCUGUCGCAGUUAUAGAAGAAUUAUCUCCUAUUACAGUAACAAAUAACCAACAAAACACCAAAAAGAGAUGGAUUGCUAAAUUGUCCUACAAAUUUCAUGAA